rnacentral:snRNA from 1 species
AUUGAUUCUCAGCCUUUUGGCUGAGAUCAUGUGUAGUAUCUGUUCAGUGAUUCACAUGCAGCCACUCCAU